rnacentral:rRNA from 1 species
CUACGGGUUGCUGCAGUGGGGAAUCUUAGACAAUGGGGGAAACCCUGAUCUAGCCAUGCCGCGUGAGCGACGACGGCCCUAGGGUUGUAAAGCUCUUUCAGCAGGGAAGAUAAUGACGGUACCUGCAGAAGAAGUCCCGGCUAACUCCGUGCCAGCAGCCGCGGUAAUACGGAGGGGACUAGCGUUGUUCGGAAUUACUGGGCGUAAAGCGCGCGUAGGCGGAUUGUUAAGUCGGGGGUGAAAUCCCGGGGCUCAACCCCGGAACUGCCCUCGAUACUGGCAGUCUUGAGUUCGAGAGAGGUGAGUGGAAUUACGAGUGUAGAGGUGAAAUUCGUAGAUAUUCGGAGGAACACCAGUGGCGAAGGCGGCUCACUGGCUCGAUACUGACGCUGAGGUGCGAAAGCGUGGGGAGCAAACAGGAUUAGAUACCCCCGUAGUC